rnacentral:rRNA from 1 species
UGGGGAAUAUUGGACAAUGGGCGGAAGCCUGAUCCAGCAACGCCGCGUGAGGGAUGACGGCCUUCGGGUUGUAAACCUCUUUCAGUACCGACGAAGCGAAAGUGACGGUAGGUACAGAAGAAGGACCGGCCAACUACGUGCCAGCAGCCGCGGUAAUACGUAGGGUCCGAGCGUUGUCCGGAAUUAUUGGGCGUAAAGGGCUCGUAGGCGGUUUGUCGCGUCGGGAGUGAAAACAGCGGGCUUAACUCGUUGCUUGCUUUCGAUACGGGCAGACUAGAGGUAUGCAGGGGAGAAUGGAAUUCCUGGUGUAGCGGUGAAAUGCGCAGAUAUCAGGAGGAACACCGGUGGCGAAGGCGGUUCUCUGGGCAUUACCUGACGCUGAGGAGCGAAAGUGUGGGGAGCGAACAGGAUUAGAUACCCUGGUAGUCCACA